rnacentral:rRNA from 1 species
CAGCAGCCGCGGUAAUACGAAGGGUGCAAGCGUUACUCGGAAUUACUGGGCGUAAAGCGUGUGUAGGUGGUUGUUUAAGUCUGUCGUGAAUGCCCUGGGCUCAACCUGGGAAUUGCGAUGGAUACUGGGCGACUAGAGUGCGGUAGAGGAUAGUGGAAUUUCCGGUGUAGCAGUGAAAUGCGUAGAGAUCGGAAGGAACAUCUGUGGCGAAGGCGACUAUCUGGGCCAACACUGACACUGAGGCACGAAAGCGUGGGGAGCAAACAGGAUUAGAUACCCCAGUAGUCCCUGUCUCUUAUAC